rnacentral:rRNA from 1 species
GAAGAACGCUGGCGGCAGCCUCAUACAUGCAAGUCGAGCGCGAAACCACCUUCGGGUGAUGUAGAGCGGCGAACGGGUGAGUAACAGGUGGGUAAUCUGCCCUUUGGCGGGGGACAACAGCUGGAAACGGCUGCUAAUACCGCAUGUGAUUGUGGACUUAUGGUCUGCAAGGAAAGGCGCCUCAAAGCGCCACCAAAGGAUGAGCCCGCCCCCCAUUAGCUAGUUGGUGAGAUAACAGCUCACCAAGGCAUCGAUGGGUAGCCGAGCUGAGAGGUUGAUCGGCCACACUGGAACUGAGACACGGUCCAGACACCUACGGGUGGCAGCAGUAGGGAAUAUUGCGCAAUGGGCGAAAGCCUGACGCAGCGAUGCCGCGUGAGUGACGAAGGUCUUAGGAUUGUAAAGCUCUUUUCUGAGGGAAGAAUAGGUCUGGUAGGAAAUGACUGGAUUCUGACGGUACCUCAGGAAUAAGGAACGGCUAACUCCGUG